rnacentral:rRNA from 1 species
AUUGAACGCUGGCGGCAUGCCUUAUACAUGCAAGUCGAACGGUAACGGGCCUUCGGUUGCCGACGAGUGGUGACCGGGUGAGUAAUACAACGGCACGUGUACGCUCGCGGGGGAUAACGAGGCGAAAGCUUAACUAAUACCGAAUACGAUCUACGGAUGAAAGCCGGGGAGUGCAAGGCUUAGCGAGGACGGAGCUGUCGCUGGCAGAUUAGGUAGUUGGUGGGUUAAUAGCUUACCAAGGCGACGAUUUGUAGCUGGUCUGAGAGGAUGAUCAGCCACACUGGAACUGAGACACGGUCCAGACUCCUACGGGAGGCAGCAGUAGGGAAUUUUGCACAAUGGGCGCAAGCCUGAUCCAGCCAUGCCGCGUGAGGGAUGAAGGUCUUCGGAUUGUAAACUGCUGUUGUACGGAACGAAAAGCUGUCUUAUAAUACAGGAAGGUCAUGACGGUACCGUAAGAGAAAGCACCGGCUAACUACGUG